rnacentral:lncRNA from 1 species
ACACUGUAUCCCUCCUGUUACAAAAUUCAAGGGGAGUUAACUUGAAAUUAUUGGAAACUUGGAGUAGCUCAUGGGGAGUGUUGAGAAUUAAUCAAAAUCAUGUGUAGGUGAGGUGAGUCGAACCGGAGACUCUAUAUGUGGACUGUUUAUUGGCUAGGGCCUAGGGUUCUGUUCACUAUAAAUUAACGGCAAAGCCGUAACUCUCAUUUUUCUUCCGUCUCAUUUCCUCCGCAGUUUUGCUAGGGUUUUGGAAGAGAAGAGAGGCAAAAGAAUUCCAAACUCAUCACCAUGAGGGCCAAGGUAACUCCUCUAUCUCCGAUAUCUAAAUUUAUCAUUUUUGAAUUGAUUUUAGUUCAUAUUUUGAAUUUACCAUUUUCCAUAAAUGGAUAACGAAAUUGAUUGUUUGAAAUUGAAUAUGAUUUUGCAGUGGAAGAAGAAGAGAAUGAGGAGGUUGAAGAGGAAGCGCCGAAAGAUGAGGCAGAGAUCCAAGUAAUUUAUCUGUUAGUCAUCGAUACCCCUCCUGCAGGCUCUCAGUACUGUUCUAGCCUUUAGGCUCUGUUUCAGUUUUCUGUAUUUUUUUUGCUUAUCGCAAGUACUUUUUCUUCGAUUCCGGAAUUCAUGCACCUCAUUUUUCUGGAAAUAUGUUCUCUUUUUUUCUUACUAUUUGUUGGUAAAUUAGAUCUGGUUAUGCUGAUAUGCUGUUUAGAAUGGGACAGUUACAUUUAAACUGUGUUAAUAAUUUCCUAGAUUGAAUACCUUUUCCAUUAAAACACAGAAAAUUUAGUGUUAGGGGGAUGAAAUUUAGCUGUCAUUGCUAGGGAUGUAAAUUUUCAGGCACAAAAUUAUUUAGGCAUAGAUAUAUAAAUUAAUUUUUGUUUGGUAGUUAAGUUUGGCCCCAAGUAAGGGCUUGCAAUGAAAAAUGUUGACAUUGAUGGAUAUACAAUAUCUUGAAGUAGAUUACUGCGAAAGAUUGCUCAUUUGGAUUUUAAACAGUUCCCUUACGGUUGGAUCAUGAAUUUUUCUGUUAAUUGUGUUAUAUGUUUAUGGGAUUCUUUUUCAAGCAUCCAACAACUGUUCGAAAGUCCUUUCCUUUAGUAAUUCUAGUUGGUAUGCAUAGUUUCUCUGUAUCUUUUUUUAUGUAACAGAUCAUCUAGUAUUGUGAUCUUACUAGAUUUUAGACUUACUGAGCAUGAAAUAUUGGUUCACAAUUGAGUCCAAUGUUAUGACAAAGGCGGUGUAGCGGUAUCUAGAGUUCUUUACGAGUAUUGGUGUGCAUCGUAAAACAAAUGAAACUCAAUUGCUAUGGCUUAGUUUAAGGGAUUAAGGGUUGUGGAAGCCAGUCAUAUUCUCUAAUUUUCAUGCAUGGUGGUCCUCUUGGCCUUUCAUUUUGUACACCCGCACCACCAUCUUCUUGACUUACUUUUAUGUUCCCUUGUCUCAAUUGUAAUUGCCCUGUUUUAUCAAUUUACUGAGAUUGGAUGUUAUAGAAGAGAGAGAACAAGUUUUAGGACCAUAGUAGUAGUUAGGGCUGUAAAUAGUAACUGAAAAAUUCGUAUUAGUCUGCAUUUGUAUUCGAAAAAAAAUUCGUAUUUGAAAAAAAUGGAUAUAUAUGUAUUCGAUUUAAAGGUAUUCACAAAUAAACGGAUACGAAUACGGAUAUAGGCGUAUUCGUAUUUGUUUAACAUACGACCAUAAAUAUAUCCAUUAGAUAGCACAUAUCUAGAUUCGG